rnacentral:tmRNA from 1 species
GGGGUCGACUGGAUUUGACAGCAUGUGAUGUUUUAUUGUAAGCAUGCCGGGCCAGGAGAGUAAGCCUGUUAAAAACUGUUUCUCAUGCCAAUAACUGGCAAUACUGACUACAGACUUGCAGCAUAAUCGCUAAGCGAUGAAGCCUAAUUCUACCCACUAGGUGGGAGAACAAGUUACCCUUGGAUGGACUAGCGCUUAAAGGUCCAUACGUUUGGGUAUCGUCAUUUAAGCUCGGGUGAAGUUUGCUUCGAACGGAUCCUUAAAAAACAGAAGAUAAGCCCACGGUCGGCAGCCCUUAGCCUGCCUCAGGUCGAAAAUGAACAUAGGGAUAAGCAUGUAGAAAGCCUUAGAAUGCCAUGUUUGGACGGGGGUUCGACUCCCCCCGACUCCACCA